GAAUGCCGCAUACCGCGUUUUGCGGUAACUUAUGCGGUUUUCCUGCCUGGGAGAUCAUGAAACAUCAUUGUCAGUAACUCACCAAUAAAUCACCUGAUUCAGAGGAACCAGUGUGUUAAAGAACACAACUCGCCUAAUUCCGAGGAUGCUUAAGGAAUAAUAAAGAAUGAAUAGCAACAAUGGGCAAAUCUUUUCAGCUUUAUUUGCCGCUUGUGAAAUUUUUGUUUACAAUUCGCGUCCUUCUGUGCUGCUUUAUAUGAUAGGUUAUCGGUGAAACGGUGUGUUACCCGAGAAAGAUUCCGCUGUUUUUUACCGCCAUAAGUGUUAUUAAUUAUGUAGUGUUUUGUAGUUAAAGUGUGUUUACUUUGUGUGCGUGAGAACGUUUGGAGAUGCCUCGCCGUGCGGGCCGUUGCCCAGCGCCGUCGCCGUAAACGGCUAGCGCAGACGCGGCGCGAGACCGAAGCGUUGCGGAACGCUGAGCGUCGCCGUGAGCGUCGUAGAGAGACCCGAGAGACCCACCGCCAGCAGGAGAGGAAGCGCCACGAGAACCGAGAGGAGGGGGAAGAGCAGACCGGUCAGUCACCUGCACACCUUGGAACCGGAUUCAAGGGUGUGAGACGAAGCAAAGGCUCACCCCCAAAAAAUUGCCAUUAGAACUGAGAAGUUAACUACAGACACAUGAUGAAGCGAGGGGCAGAAGACACAGGCGGAGCAUACACUGAAAAAAAUCCCGAUUCAUAAUGAAACAAAAUUCCUAGACCUUCAUUGGAAAAAAGACAAGGCUCCAAAUGUGAAAAUAUACACGGCUGAAAAAGAUCCGUGCCUGUACAUACAUGGGACCGAACAUGGCAGAGAAAAAUGAAUGCUGGGGACUGUUAUGUCAUGUAUUACCAUGUGGAAUGCCAAUGUUAAUAGAUCGGAUUUGCACCA